ensembl:lncRNA
UUUCUUUAUUUAUAUUUUUUUUAGUUCAAGAAUUACACACUAGCCAACAUUAUUAUAUAUUUACAUGCUGAAACUGGCUGCAAUAAUUUUAAAUUCAAGAAAAUAUCUCUUAUGUGCUACUCAUUUACAAUCAUCAUUUUACUACCUCAUUUAUCCCAGAGGUUAGCAGUCCUUUUGAGAAAGACAUGAAGAUCUGAUGCGAUGAUAUCCACUAGUAUUUUGCAUUUUCUAGCCAUUGGAAAAUGUGCAUUAUGUGCAUAUAAGAAAGGCUACAAGGUCAUUAGUAAGGCUGAUGAUUACUACAUUAUGAAGUAAAUAGUACUAAGUAAAAAAGAUAAAUCAGAACUGUGCAAAGACAGUACUAACAGAACCAUUUAAACACCCAUGCAAAUAAAAACGUGAUAGAAGUCAAAUCAUAGUCAGCUUGUUAGAAUUAAUCAUGUUUCAGAUGUUCUUUUUGUCUUCAACUGAAAGUAACAGGACAGACCAUGAACCAUACAGCCUGGUGAAUAUUCGUCAAAUGACUGUUAACAGUGAAAACAUACAAAACAUUAUCAAAUUGGAAUAGAUGACCUUAUGUCUGAAAAAACAUUAAAAAAAUACAACCCUUAGUAUGAAAGUAUAGGUGAGACUUUUCAUCUUUUAAUAUUCUUUUUUUUUUUUUCAAAGCACUUACAAAGAAAAUAAUUUUAUACUUAUGAAAUGUCCGCGUUGCAUAUUCUUGUAGAGGUGACCUAUUUCAAUUUAAUAUUAAUGGAUACUUAAAUUAUUACUAUUUUUACAAAGUAGAAUAGGGCAGUAUUUUUCAUCAACAUUCCACUUGCUUCUUAAAAAUUUAGACAAAGUUCCUAGUGCAUUUUAUUAAGCUUUACCUUUGGUGUUAAGCAGUGACUUAAUAGAUUUCCCUUUUAAACAAUUUCUGGAGUGAAGAUUCUUUGGCUUUGGGGGACUAUGCUAUCUAAUGACAGUCAAAUAUAUAUUUUUUUCUAAAGAAAAACUGUAAAUCUACUAUUAGAUACCAUAAGGGAUACAGAUUGCAGAAAGAUGCAGUAUGCAGACUUUCUGUAAUGAGAUCACCAGCAGCUGAAUUCUCACCUACGCUGGAUUCCUUCACAUCCGAUUGUGCUAGCAGUAACACAGCUGAAAUGGUUAUUUUGCACCUCAGUACUUUCUGUAUUUUUUUUUUUAUAUCUGGUAUCCAAAUCUGUUUAUGCAAAAGGGUGUUUAAAUUACUCUGCUAGAGCACUGCAAUUAUUGUACUUAGUAAAAAAAAGUCACUAAACAAUUACUGUAUCUACUGACUGCUCAUUUACAGCUUAUUUAAUUAUUUACAUAAUUUUAGGACACAUUAACCUAAACCAUAGAAUUAGCUUUUUGCCUUACCAUAAAGUACAAAUUAGAAGUUAAAAAUGUUUAAGAAAUCUGAUAAUAUUUACACACGCUCAGCUUAAGUUAUGAUUGCUCACAUCGUAUGUUCUAUGUACACAUAGCAAAAUGUUAUGAUCACUACUGAUAUAGUAUUGUACCCUGGCCAUCCCACUCUAGAUUACUUUCUAGAAAUAGUUAAUAAUUUUGCCUUUUUGCCUCGGUUCCCUUAGACCUGUUGUUUUUGAAAACUUACUAGUGGACAAUGCUGUUAUAAAAAGAGAGAGAAGAAAUAGGCAAGCAAUGUGAGGACUAGUCUAAUUUCAGAUGCUAGGAGGUACAGUACUACCAUCAUGUCAAAUGGUGCAAUGUUCCAUACGAAUUAUAUGCAUUGAUCUGCUGAUAUAGAAAUGCCCAGUUACCCUGUAUAGUAAGUUGUUUUUUACAUUAAUCUUUUUUUUCUCAAAAAUAUAAUCAUACACUGGUUGAUGGUAGAAACAAAAGUAUUAUUAGCUUAUUCCUUUAACACACCAACAUAUGAAUGUGUGUGUAUAUAUAUACUUACCAUGUGUAUAUAUACACACAUAUGUCCAUACAGACAGGUGUCCAUAUGCACAUAUAGUUGGAUAAUGUUUAACAUUUGUUCACUUAUGUUCAGUUCUGUGUUAAUUAUAGAAUUGUAACACAGACUAAUAAUUAUAAUGAAAAAUAACCAAACCUUAAUUUUAAUGCAUAUUUUGUCUGAAAUAAGAAGGAUUUG